rnacentral:rRNA from 1 species
UACGUAGGGUGCGAGCGUUGUCCGGAAUUACUGGGCGUAAAGAGCUCGUAGGCGGUUUGUCGCGUCGUCCGUGAAAACUUGGGGCUCAACCCCAAGCUUGCGGGCGAUACGGGCAGACUUGAGUACUGCAGGGGAGACUGGAAUUCCUGGUGUAGCGGUGAAAUGCGCAGAUAUCAGGAGGAACACCGGUGGCGAAGGCGGGUCUCUGGGCAGUAACUGACGCUGAGGAGCGAAAGCCAGGGGAGCGAACGGG